rnacentral:rRNA from 1 species
AUGAACGCUGGCGGCGUGCUUAACACAUGCAAGUCGAACGAUGAAGCCCAGCUUGCUGGGUGGAUUAGUGGCGAACGGGUGAGUAACACGUGAGUAACCUGCCCUUAACUCUGGGAUAAGCCUGGGAAACUGGGUCUAAUACCGGAUAGGAGCGUCCACCGCAUGGUGGGUGUUGGAAAGAUUUAUCGGUUUUGGAUGGACUCGCGGCCUAUCAGCUUGUUGGUGAGGUAAUGGCUCACCAAGGCGACGACGGGUAGCCGGCCUGAGAGGGUGACCGGCCACACUGGGACUGAGACACGGCCCAGACUCCUACGGGAGGCAGCAGUGGGGAAUAUUGCACAAUGGGCGCAAGCCUGAUGCAGCGACGCCGCGUGAGGGAUGACGGCCUUCGGGUUGUAAACCUCUUUCAGUAGGGAAGAAGCGAAAGUGACGGUACCUG